rnacentral:rRNA from 1 species
UAACGCGAAGAACCUUACCAAGGUUUGACAUCACCCGUGGACCUGCAGAGAUGUGGGGCAUUUAGUUGGCGGGUGACAGGUGGUGCAUGGCUGUCGUCAGCUCGUGUCGUGAGAUGUUGGGUUAAGUCCCGCAACGAGCGCAACCCUUGUUCCAUGUUGCCAGCACGUAGUGGUGGGGACUCAUGGGAGACUGCCGGGGUCAACUCGGAGGAAGGUGGGGACGACGUCAAGUCAUCAUGCCCCUUAUGUCUUGGGCUGCAAACAUGCUACAAUGGCCGGUACAGUGGGCGUGCGAAGCCGUGAGGUGGAGCGAAUCCCAUAAAGCCGGUCUCAGUUCGGAUUGGGGUCUGCAACUCGACCCCAUGAAGGNGGAGUCGCUAGUAAUCGCGGAUCA